ACAGCAUAAAAACAUCUUGCCUUUUUAUUUUCGCCUUAAAUACUGGUCCUGUAACUAACAAGGAGGUUCUUGGUGAAUCACAACAGUGGAAAUAUCAUUGUGAUGAAUCAACCAGUUUUCCAGGAAUGACAAGUCUCUAGAGCUCAGUGCUGCUACUUGGAUCCCAGGGAUUGUAAUUGGACAACCAGGAACUGAGGCGCACACACUUCGUGACCUAGGAGAAAUCUGGUUUAUGUGACUUACCUAGCAUCUCAUAAGAAUUCUAUGACACAGGGAAGAGAGAAUCUGCUUCUCCAGGGCUGGAUCCAACUGCCUAAGGCACAAGUAGUUGGAAAAGUUUUGAGAGCAUUACCUACUUGAAAAUGCAGAUCUGCUGAAAACAGAAGAGUUGACAACAUUGAUGGAUGGAAUUUUAAAGGCAUUAAAAAAAAUAAAUGUCUAAUGAGUAUGUGCAAACUGACUUUUUUGAUUACUUCAGAGACUUGUUACUUGGUCAAAUUUAGGUGGAUUUUCACCAACAACAUUU